AUACGGAGGGUCCGAGCGUUAUACGGAAUCAUUGGGUUUAAAGGGUCCGUAGGCGGGAAUCUAAGUCAGUAGUGAAAUCUUGCAGCUCAACUGUAAAAUUGCCAUUGAUACUGGAUUUCUUGAAUUAGUGUGAAGUGGUUAGAAUGUGUAGUGUAGCGGUGAAAUGCAUAGAUAUUACACAGAAUACCAAUUGCGAAGGCAGAUCACUAACACUAUAUUGACGCUAAGGGACGAAAGCGUGGGGAGCGAACAGGAUUAGAAACCCCAGUAGUCC
rnacentral:rRNA from 1 species